rnacentral:pre_miRNA from 12 species
GUACAGCAUCUGCCAAGCCAUGAGACGAAGCCGGUUUUCACAGUGAUUUGCCAGAUAUGUUAAAUUCUGAGAUCAUUGUGAAAGCUGAUUUUGUUGAGUAGCUCUUCAGGAAAGCAGCAC